UGACCGGUACGGGCCAUGAGAGUGGUAGCCCGGAGAUGGACACUGAGAUAGGGGUCCAGGCCCUACGGGGCGCAGCAGGCGCGAAAACUCCACACUGUACGUAAGUACGAUGGGGUUACCUCGAGUGUAGUCUGUAAAAGAUUGCUUUUCCAUAGAGUAAUAUCCUGUGGGAAUAAGAGGGGGGCAAGACUGGUGUCAGCCGCCGCGGUAACACCAGCCCCUCGAGUGGUAGGGACUUUUAUUUGGCCUAAAGCGUUCGUAGCCGUCUGUAACCGUUGCCCGUUAAAUCCAGCGUCUCAAGCGUUGGACUGCGGGCGAUACCUUACAGAUUGAGGGUGGGAUAGGUAAGCGGUAUUUCUGGGGUAGGGGCGAAAUCCUUUGAUCCCAGGAGGACCACCAGUGGCGAAGGCUGCUUACUAGAACACGCCUGACGGUCAGGAACGAGAGCUGGGGUAGCGAACCGGAUUAGAUACCCGGGUAGUCCCAGCUGUAAACGAUGCGCGCUAGGUGUUGGGUCGGCCAUGCGCCGCCCCAGUGCCGCAGGGAAGCCGUUAAGCGCGCCGCCUGGGGAGUACGGCCGCAAGGCUGAAACUUAAAGGAAUUGGCGGGGGAGCAC
rnacentral:rRNA from 1 species